rnacentral:rRNA from 1 species
CAGCCGCCGCGGUAACACCGGCGGCCCGAGUGGUGACCACUAUUAUUGGGUCUAAAGGGUCCGUAGCCGGUUUGAUCAGUCUUCCGGGAAAUCUGACAGCUUAACUGUUAGGCUUCCGGGGGAUACUGUCAGACUUGGGACCGGGAGAGGUAAGAGGUACUACAGGGGUAGGAGUGAAAUCUUGUAAUCCCUGUGGGACCACCAGUGGCGAAGGCGUCUUACCAGAACGGGUCCGACGGUGAGGGACGAAAGCUGGGGGCACGAACCGGAUUAGAUACCCGGGUAGUCCCAGCCGUAAACGAUGCUCGCUAGGUGUCUGGGACGGUGCGACCGUUUCAGGUGCCGCAGGGAAGCCGUGAAGCGAGCCACCUGGGAAGUACGGCCGCAAGGCUGAAACUUAAAGGAAUUGGCGGGGGAGCACUACAACGGGUGGAGCCUGCGGUUUAAUUGGACUCAACGCCGGAAAACUCACCUGGGGCGACAGCAAUAUGUAGGUCAGGCUGAAGGUCUUACCUGAAUCGCUGAGAGGUGGUGCAUGGCC